rnacentral:rRNA from 1 species
UACGUAGGGCGCAAGCGUUAUUCGGAAUUAUUGGGCGUAAAGAGCUUGUAGGCGGUUUGUCGCGUCUGCUGUGAAAUUUCGGGGCUCAACCCCGAACUUGCAGUGGGUACGGGCAGACUAGAGUGUGGUAGGGGAGACUGGAAUUCCUGGUGUAGCGGUGAAAUGCGCAGAUAUCAGGAGGAACACCGAUGGCGAAGGCAGGUCUCUGGGCCAUAACUGACGCUGAGAAGCGAAAAGCAUGGGGAGCGAAACAGG